rnacentral:snRNA from 1 species
AUACUUACUUGGAGGGGAACUACCAUGAUCCUGAAAGUAUUUUUUACCAGAGUGAGGAUUGUCUGUUGCACUCCAGAUGUGCUGACCCCUGUGAUUUCCCCAAAUUGAAUUGAAUUACUCGAUUGAAUAAUUUGUGGUAGUGGAGACUGCAUUCAUGCUCUCCUCUG